GAAGAUAACUGUAAAUGUGGGGGGUAAAAUGUGAACUUACCAAUUUCAGACUAACAGGCUGGACAAUACCACUGUUACUCAUCUCCAGCAGCACGCCGGACAUCACCAAUACCACUGUUACUCAACUUUUAUUUGGUGUAUAGAAUGUCUAUAUUUACACACAAACAUAGAAACAUUGUGUCUGAUUUUACGACUGAAUUCUUCUCCAUAUUAUAGCAAUAGUAGCAAUGUUAAAACAUCACAUUUCCAAAAGCGUGAAAAGGAAAUAUUUUGUCUUGUCCUUCUGGAUGACCUUACGAUGUAGCACGCAGUUACUGAGGGACGCCUCUGUGUUAAGACUUCUGCGUUCGCGUACUCGUCGGAACUAGGAAACUGUGAAAUGUCCCAACUUGCUAACUGCUUGUAGUUAUACACGUGCUGCGUUCAACCAGUUAGGAAGUCAAGACAUUUCAGCGUUUCCUAGUUCCGACUAGCACGUGAACGCUGCAGGGUGUCCCUGUGAAUAACAUAACAUGGUUCUAGUUCAAGGUGGCCUGCCGGCUGUUAAAGGACAGACGCGUUUAUAGUUACAUCCUCCGGUCUACUUGAUAGUAGUUUGUCCUCCCUCCUGUGUAUAGAACAGUUCUGUCCAGUCCUGUGCUGUGUGGUGGAUCAACAGGAAAGGGUUUAGAUCAGGGUCAGGUUAAAGUGUUGACACGGUGGAACAUGAUGAAUAGCUCGUUUGUUCUUGGGAGUGACUCUGUGUUUAUUUACAGCAACAGCGCGGGCAGUAAUGUGGUAAAACCAGACAAAAUCAGUGAUAGCAGCACUUAGUCUGCACACACACACACACACACGAGGUGAACCGUUAAGCCUUCCUUCACCCCACAGUUAAUUCGGUUGUCUUCCUCUCAGCACUUCCUGAUUCACAUUCAGCCUCAUUACCCAUUCAUCAGAUCCAGUCUCUCCACACAGAGGUUGACCUCUGCCAUUUCACCUCAUAUUAAACCACACGGUACUGGUUUCAGUGAACAUUGAUCUGUCCUUAGUAGGAUCACAAAUGAUACGAAACCAACCAGUCCAUCAUGUUUAAAGCUUUCUGCUCCAGAUUGAGUCUGGAGGUGAGACAGACUGGUCAGACAGUCCAGGUGGGAGACAGACAGGUAGACAGACAGGUAAGGCAGCAGAAUCAUCCCAGAGCCUUUGAUGAGUCUGUAGUAGUGAUCUGAUCAGCGCUACGGAGGGCUUUCUGUGGGCUGGCCGGGGACUAAAACCAACAACGUACUGGUAUGGGUCUAGAACCCAGAGACCGCAGAGAACUGAGUCUGGGACGAGAACCCAGAGUACAUGGGAGAACCCAGAGAACAGAGUCUGGGACGAGAACCCAGAGAACAGAGUCUGGGACGAGAACCCAGAACCAAGAGAACAGAGUCUGGGACUAGAACCCAGAGAGUAGAAAGCAGAGUUAGCAGGCUAGAGUUUAAAGCAUAGACAGACAAUUGGUUCAGUCCACUACAGCUUUCACAGACGAUCAACCUGAAGGGGUUUGUGGGCCAUAAUGUCUUCCAGUGUCCACUGUCUCAAACCAGUGACCCAAAAAAAAACUGGUGUUGAAGUCAACAAGCUCCAAAAUGACCAAAAAUCAUCUAAGUAGCACAUCAAACUAUCCAUUUUAAAUGACACAUCCAUGUUCUGUAGUGUUUUCUUGAAACAUUCGGAUUAUUUAGUCCUAGUUGUUCACAACACACAGCUGAGACAAGACAGUAGUACAGACAUACAGUACCAUCACGUGGUGAAUAAAAGUUACUCUGAACAUAGUCAUCAUCUAUCAACAAAGUUAUUAAAGUGAUUAACUGGGUUGUUUUAGUUCAAUACCUGCCUCUGUAGGAGUGGCACUGUCUUCACAAACUCUGCUGUUCCUUACCACAGGCACUUAACCCCUUGUGCACAAUGAACGUAAAGAUGAUUCCCAAAUGGCACCCUAUUCCCUAUAUAGUGCACUACUUUACACCUGCCAAAUGGCACCCUAUUCCCUAUAUAGUACACUACUUUACACCUGCCAAAUGGCACCCUAUUCCCUAUAUAGUACACUACUUUACACCUGCCAAAUGGCACCCUAUUCCCUAUAUAGUACACUACUUUACACCUGCCAAAUGGCACCCUAUUCCCUAUAUAGUGCACUACUUUACACCAGCCAAAUGGCACCCUAUUCCCUAUAUAGUGCACUACUUUUGACCAGGGCCGAGGGCACUAUACAGGGAAUUGGGUGUAAUUAGGGACGUAACCUCAGAAUAAUCAGAUUGAUGAUUAGGCUUUAAUAAUAAACCCUGUUAUGUAAUAGAACAUGAACACCCAAUCACACAGGAAGUCAACUCAGCUAAAACAUCCUGGAGCCCCAAAAAAUAAACAAAUCAAGGUUUGGUAGCCAUCAGAAAAACUAAACCACUUUAACAAUAAUACCAAUAUUCCCAUCAUCAAACUGAUUAAGAACUGCUGAUAAAUACUAGAUCUACGGUAGAAAUACUACUAGAUCUACGGUAGAAAUACUACUAGAUCUACGGUAGAAAUACUACUAGAUCUACGGUAGAAAUACUACUAGAUCUACGGUAGAAAUACUACUAUAUCUACGGUAGAAAUACUACUAGAUCUACGGUAGAAAUACUAC
rnacentral:lncRNA from 1 species